GACGAACGCUGGCGGCGUGCCUAACACAUGCAAGUCGAACGGAAUGGCCCUGCUUUUGUGGGGUGCUCGAGUGGCGAACGGGCGAGUAACACGUGAGUACCCUGCCCUUCACUUUGGGAUAACUUCAGGAAACUGGGGCUAAUACCGUAUAGGAGCACCUGCUCCAUGGUGGGGGUUGGAAAGUUUCGGCGGUUGGGGAUGGACUCGCGGGUUGUCAGCUUGUUGGUGGGGUAGUGGCUUACCAAGGCAUUGACGGGUAGCCGGCCUGAGAGUGGGACCGGGCACAUGGCGACAGAGCUACGGCAGGGAGCAGUACGGGAGGCAGGGGUAGGGGAGAUUGCACGAUGGGGGGAAGCCUGAUGCAGCAAGGCGGCGUGCGGGAUGACGGACUUCGGGUUGUAGACAGCAUUCGCAUGUGAGGAAGCGUGGGUGACGGUAAUGGAUAAAGAAGCACCGGCUAACUACGUG
rnacentral:rRNA from 1 species